ACGACCGUAGCUCAACUGGUGAGAGCGCCGGAGUACCAAUCCAGAGUUCGCCGGUUCGAAUCUCACCGGCCUCC
rnacentral:tRNA from 1 species